CGAGGCACGUACGGUGAAUAGGGACGGUCGGGGCCGCCCGUACCGGGGUCGUGAGAGGUGAAAUUCUAGGAUCGACCCGAGACGAACCGCCGCGAAAGCAUUCGGCAAGGACGCUUUCAUUAAUCAAGAACGAAAGUCGGGGGAUCGAAGACGAUCAGAUACCGUCGUAGUCCCGACCGUAAACGAUGCCGACCGAGGGCCCGGAGGAGUUACGUACGACCCUCCGGGCCCUCCCGCGAGAAAUCAGGAGUAUUCGGGUUCCGGGGGGAGUAUGGUCGCAAGGCCGAAACUUAAAGGAAUUGACGGAAGGGCACCACCAGGAGUGGAAUCUGCGGCUUAAUUUGACAACGCGGGAAAACUCACCAGGUCAGGACACGGUAAGGAUUGACGGACUGAAGGCU
rnacentral:rRNA from 1 species